AGCUUAGUGGUCUAACGGUAAGGUGUUUGCAUUGGAGCCAGAUAGUCCUAGGUUCAAUCCCUGGUAGGUUC
rnacentral:tRNA from 1 species